rnacentral:rRNA from 1 species
CAGCCGCCGCGGUAAUACCGGCGGCCCGAGUGGCGGUCACUAUUAUUGGGCUUAAAGCGUCCGUAGCCGGGUUGGGAAGUCCUCCGGGAAAUCUGGCCGCUUAACGGUCAGAAUGCCGGAGGAUACUCCCAGCCUAGGGAGCGGGAGAGGCCGAGGGUAUUCCCGGGGUAGGGGGGAAAUCCUAUAAUCCCGGGAGGACCACCUGUGGCGAAGGCGCUCGGCUGGAACGCGUCCGACGGUGAGGGACGAAGGCCAGGGGAGCAAACCGGAUUAGAUACCCGGGUAGUCCUGGCUGUAAACGAUGCGGACUUUGUGUCGGACAAGCUAUGAGCUUGUCCGGUGCCGGAGGGAAACCGUUAAGUCCGCCGCCUGGGGAGUACGGCCGCAAGGCUGAAACUUAAAGGAAUUGGCGGG